AGUUUAGCUCAGUGGUAGAGCAACGGUUUUGUAAACCGUCGGUCGUCGGUUCGAAUCCGACAAC
rnacentral:tRNA from 1 species